rnacentral:rRNA from 1 species
CCCUUAGAUGUUCUGGGCCGCACGCGUGCUACACUGAGUGGAUCAGCGGGUCAGGUUGCGCGAAAGUGUUUCCUAAUCUUUAAAUCCGCUCGUGAUGGGGAUUGACGGUUGCAAUUUUCCGUCAUGAACGAGGAAUACCUUGUAAGCGCGGGUCAUCAUCCCGCGCUGAAUACGUCCCUGCCCUUUGUACACACCGCCCGUCGCUCCUACCGAUUGAGUGGUCCGGUGAGGCUUUGGGAUCUGGGCGGAAAGAGCGUUUCGCUGUUUCUGCCCGGAAAACUCAGUCGAACCUUAUCAUUUAGAGGAAGGUGAAGUCGUAACA